GAUUAAAAGCAGGACUCCCGGGGCUUCCCACUCCCAGAGAGCCUGGGAGUAGCAGGGGGUCCAUCGGACACAGUUCCCCAGCAACGAGGGGGGCUUCCCACCUGGGUUCCCCCCAGUGGAUGUGAAGAGAUGGAAACUGGAGCUGAGAG